AAACCAUGCAUCGGGCAUUUUCUAAUCAAUUCCUUGAAUCUCUCCCAAGCUUCAUCAAUGUCUCUUCUUCAAAUUGUCGAAAAGAUGUAAUAAUGUUCCUCAAUUU
rnacentral:snoRNA from 1 species